rfam:Candidatus Pacearchaeota archaeon CG1_02_30_18 cg1_0.2_scaffold_360_c, whole genome shotgun sequence.
GUAAGUUGGGGAGCUAAUUUACGGAAUCCUUGCAUUAAAUUGCAAAGAAAUGAAUUAUGAUUUCUGGAUUCUGAGGAAGGUCCGCCCAUCAAAAAAACCACUUUUCGAAAGGAAAGUUGCCGUGAGGCAAAGCUCUGCUACAGAAACGCCACAGUUUGUUUAGAGUAAUGAACCAUGCGGGGAACGUCGAAAAACAAGAUUUGAUGAAACGAGCAACUUGGUUGAUGCAAGGGUAACAUGUGUAUGCCCGCAUAGUCGAAUGUUAGCAUGUUCUGUCCGAACACGGAGAACAACAGAAGGUGGCCUACCUCAACUUAC